UCCGAUUUAGGUGAAUCCAACGCCCACGUCUUCGUCUCGUCGAGCCCGUUCUGUUCCCACCAUUUUCACUAUGUUUCAACAUUCUGAAAAUGACCAUUUUGCCCUUGCCACAAUCAGCCCCGUCCGAGAGAGAACCUUUCUAGUGAUUCCUUCCGCGAUCUUUCCACACUUCUCCCCGGAGCCUUCUUCAUCCCCAGGCAAGCCACAACCACCAUUUGCAUGAUAGCCAUGCAGAAGCAUUGGUUUUCAACUUGAAUCUUAAAUAACUGUUUGUUUGCUUUGCUGCUAUUGUCUUUAUUUCGGUUAUGCUUAUGGUCGGUGUUUACCGUCAUGCUUUGUUUUUCUUGCACUCUGUUAUUAUGUUCUUCAUGCUAGUACUACUUUAAUAUUGGCAAUGCUUGGUAAUAAUACAUGUUGGUGAUGGUCUUCGGUGCAUGACUAUCGUCUGUUCCGAGUACCGUUGUUAUGCAUGUUAUUUUGCACCGAGUUGGUUAAAUAUUUGCAUGGUAGUUUUAUCGUUUGCAUGAUAUUUAUUAUUGAUGCUAGUGUUCAUGUCAUGCUAUGAGUAGUGUUCUAGUUGUGAUAUUCAUGCUCGUUAGUAUGCCAUGCUCAUCUGGUUAAAUGAUUAAAUGUUGUUGUUAUGCUCGUUGAUUAUGUUGCACCCCCAUGCUCAUGUUGGUAUCAUGUUCAUGCACUGUAGUUGCAUCAUGUUAUUUUUAUCAUGGCUCAGCAUAUUGCAUUCAAGUUUAACCGGAUUAAAUUGAACUUGAACAACUGUUGGCUGAGUCAUGGUGCCACCAGAUCGAGCUGACCAGCGCAACCACAUUUGCCUUGUGUAUGGGAAAGGCCCUAACGGGUCUAUUGUCAUGCCUCUCGCCGGUGCCUCCAACGUAGGGAAGGUUAUGCGCGGGCGCUACCUUGGACAGGUAGGACGGCAUAAGCCUUGUGAGCCCGAGUUGUUUGCGCGCUUUGUCCCUGUUUGGGACCGUUUUUGCCACGACGGUGGCCGUAAGACCUUUGGUAGGCAUGGGCCACCCAGGACUGAACCCAAAAAGGGGUGUUGGUCGGAGUGGCCGGGAGAGUGCCAUGGAAAUAGAUCGGAUUUGUCGGAACGCCAUUGGUCCACCCGAAUGGGAGUGCGAGGCCAUGGGUUUUGUGGUGUGGGUACAGUGCGCUACCUCUGCAGAGUGUGUGUGUGUGUUAAAUCUAUCGAUAACCGCGCCCGCGGAUAUGGGCCCAGUUCGUGUCGGUCAUACUAUGGGUCAACGGUAAUAAUAAUGAUGUGCUUAAUAACAACCUUGGUUCGAUGAUGAAAGAAGUUGGUUGAUAUUUAUGUCAUCGUGAGAGGAUCACUGUAGUAUCGUGAAUACCAACUUGUUGUAUAUUUGGAAUGUUAUUCGAGAGUCAAGGGGAAAGGUCAAGCUCCUUGUGAUCAUAAAUGAUUGCUACGGUAUUGUUAAUACCAAGCUUGAUUGGAUCCUGAGAUGAUCGUGUGAUAUCCGUGAUGGUAAGUGAUACAGGUGAUGGUUACAAGGUAACCAGAGCAGAGUAAGUUGGUGCAUGAUAGUUUCAUCAUGUUGCAUGCUAGGCUCAUCUUGUUCAUAUGUUCAUGCCAUGCUCGUAUUGUUCUAGCUAUAUCAUCGUGUUCAUGCUAUGAUUGAUCUGAUAGUAUCAUGGUAAUCCUUGUUAACGUGUAAUUGCCAUGUUGUUGUUUGUUUUGAUUGUUUUGGUUGCUGUGAGCUUGCAAGUACAUUCAAUGUACUGACCUGGUGUGUCAUGCCAGUUUGCAGGUCAUGUCGGAUUUGAUUGCUUGUUUGUCAUGGAUUUCCCUGUUUGCGAGCUAGGAUAAGCGUUCCAGCCAGAGUCCCUGUGGAGUGGAGUUCACCACCGUCUUUGUUGUUCCGCUGCCAGUAGUCAUUCCGCUGCGUCGUGUUGUUCUGCUGCUUGCAUAGAGCAACCGUGGCAGGCGUAGCGUCGCCGUGCCGAUGUAAUCCCCUUGUACCCCAAUAGAUUGCAAUAAAUAGCUGAUUUGUUCUAUGCUAAGCAGUGCCGUAUUCCAGAAGACUUCUCCUCGAUCUGUGGGCUGGAAUACGGGGCGUUCCGGUUUCUCUGAGCCGGGGUGCCACAGUACAACCCAUCUGGGCGUUCCAGGAGAGGGGGCGCGCCCUGGUGGGUUGUGCCCAACCAGGGGCCCCUCUCUGGUGGGUCUUGGCUCCAAAAAUUCUUAUUAUUGAUAUAAAAAAUCCUCGCAAAGUUUCGU
rnacentral:lncRNA from 1 species